rnacentral:lncRNA from 1 species
UGUGUGUGUGUGUGUGUGUGUGUUGAGUGAAUGAGUGUGUGUGUGUGUGUGUGUAUGUGUGUGUGUGUGUGUGUAUGUGAGUGUGUGUGUUUGUGUGUAUGUGUGUGUGUAUGAGUGAGUGUGUGUGUGUGUGUGUCCGUGUCCAUGUCGGAGAAAGAAGGUGCUGUGGAGCUGGAGCUACAGGCAGUUGUGAGCCACUCAC